rnacentral:rRNA from 1 species
UACCAGACUCCUACGGGAGGCAGCAGUGGGGGAUAUUGCACAAUAGGGGAAACCCUGAUGCAGCGACGCCGCGUGUGGGAAGACGGUCCUCUGGAUUGUAAACCACUGUCCCCAGGGACGAAGAUGACGGUACCUGGGGAGGAAGCUCCGGCUAACUACGUGCCUGCAGCCGCGGUAAUACGUAGGGGGCAAGCGUUAUCCGGAAUUAUUGGGCGUAAAGAGUACGUAGGUGGUUUUGUAAGCGCGGGGUGAAAGGCAGUGGCUUAACCAUUGUAAGCCUUGCGAACUGCAAGACUUGAGUGCAGGAGAGGAAAGCGGAAUUCCUAGUGUAGCGGUGAAAUGCUUAGAUAUUAGGAGGAACACCAGUGGCGAAGGCGGCUUUCUGGACUGUAACUGACACUGAGGUACGAAAGCGUGGGGAGCAAACAGGAUUAGAUACCCCCGUAAA